rnacentral:rRNA from 1 species
UACGGAGGGGGCGAGCGUUAUUCGGAAUUAUUGGGCGUAAAGGGCGCGUAGGCGGCCCGGUAAGUCAAAGGUGAAAUCCCUCGGCUCAACUGAGGAACUGCCUUUGAAACUGUCGGGCUUGAGGCCGGGAGGGGGUAGCGGAAUUCCCAGUGUAGCGGUGAAAUGCGUAGAUACUGGGAGGAACACCAGUGGCGAAGGCGGCUACCUGGACCGGUUCUGACGCUGAGGCGCGAAAGCGUGGGUAGCAAACAGG